rnacentral:tRNA from 1 species
CGGGGAGUGGCUCAACGGCAGAGCACUCGCUUGGGGUGCGAGAGGUUCCGGGUUCGAUUCCCGGCUCCCCGACCA